rnacentral:rRNA from 1 species
GUUGAACGCUGGCGGCAGGCCUAACACAUGCAAGUCGAACGAGUGGCGGACGGGUGGGUAAGUGCGGGAAACCUGCCUGAUGGAGGGGGAUGAGUAGUGGAAAAGGUAGAUAAUACCGCAUAACGCGCGUUCGGCCCAGGUGGGAUGAGCUUGUUGGGGGGGUAACGGCUCACCAAGGCGACAAGUCCUAGCUAGGCUGAGAGGAUGACCAGCCACACUGGAACUGAGACACGGCCCAGACUCCUACGGGAGGCAGCAGUGGGGAAUAUUGCACAAUGGGCGAAAGCCUGACGCAGCCAUGCCGCGUGUAUGAAGAAGGCUUUCGGGUUGUAAAGCACUGUCAUCGGGGAGGCGGUACCCGAACAAGAAGCCACGGCUAACUACGUGCCAGCAGCCGCGGUAAUAC